rnacentral:rRNA from 1 species
AGUGAACGCUGGCGGUAGGCCUAACACAUGCAAGUCGAACGGCAGCACAGUAAGAGCUUGCUCUUACGGGUGGCGAGUGGCGGACGGGUGAGGAAUACAUCGGAAUCUACUUUUUCGUGGGGGAUAACGUAGGGAAACUUACGCUAAUACCGCAUACGACCUACGGGUGAAAGCAGGGGAUCUUCGGACCUUGCGCGAUUGAAUGAGCCGAUUUCGGAUUAGCUAGUUGGCGGGGUAAAGGCCCACCAAGGCGACGCUCCGUAGCUGGUCUGAGAGGAUGAUCAGCCACACUGAAGCUGGGACACGGACCCGACUCCGACGGGAGGCAGCAGUGGGGAAUAUUGGACAAGGGGCGCAAGCCUAAUCCAGCCAUACCGCGUGGGUGAAGACGGCCUACGGGUUGUAAAGCCCUUUUGUUGGGAAAGAAAAGCGGCAGGUUAAUACCCCGCUGUUCGGACGGUACCCAAAGAAUAGGCACCGGCUAACUUCGU